UUCCCCUUAAAUGGAAGUAAUUACUAAAUAUUAUAAAGGACAACAGAUAGGAAACUAGCUCCUUGUAAUAUUUUCCCUUUAAAGGGAAGUAAUUACUAAAUAUUAUAAAGGACAAUAGAUAGGAAACUAGCUCCUUGUAAUAUAACUUUUUGUUCCUUUAAUUACUCUUUUUAGAAGGAUUAUACAGAAA
rnacentral:lncRNA from 1 species